GGUUCUCCCGCCGGAGGCGACCGCUACUGGAGUCCGAUUAAGCCAUGCGAGUCGAGAGUCUUCAAGGACUCGGCGUACCGCUCAGUAACACGUGGGUAACCUGCCCUAUGCUGGGGAAUAACCUCGGGAAACUGAGAAUAAUGCCCCAUAGUUCACUACGCCUGGAACGGUGAGUGGAUGAAAGCUCCGGCGGCAUAGGAUGGGCCUGCGGCGUAUCAGGUCGUAGGGGGUGUAACGUACCCUCUAGCCAUCGACGCGUACGGGUGUUGGGAGACAUAGCCCGGAGAUGGAUUCUGAGACACGAAUCCAGACCCUACGGGGUGCAGCAGGCGCGAAAACUUGGCAAUGCGAGAAAUCGUGACCAGGGAACUCCAAGUGGCUGGGGUAAGACCCAGUCUUUUCUUGACUCUUCAAAGGUCUUGGAAUAAGAGGUGGGUAAGGACGGUGCCAGCCGCCGCGGUAAUACCGGCGCCUCAAGUGGUAGUCGAUUUUAUUGGGCCUAAAACGUCCGUAGCCUGUUUGGUACAUUCGUGGGUAAAUCAACCAGCUCAACUGGUUGAAUUCUGCGAGCACGGCCAGACUUGGGACCGGGAGAGGUGUGGGGUACGCUCAGGGUAGGGGUAAAAUCCUGUCAUCCUGAGCGGACCACCUGUUGCGAAGGCGCCACACUAGAACGGAUCCGACGGUCAGGGACGAAGCCUAGGGGCACGAACCGGAUUAGAUACCCGGGUAGUCCUAGGUGUAAACGCUGUGGACUUGGUGUUGGGGAUUCUCCGAGGAUUCUCAGUGCCGAAGCGAAAGUGAUAAGUCCACUGCCUGGGGAGUACG
rnacentral:rRNA from 1 species